CAACUUUCAACAACGGAUCUCUUGGCUCUCGCAUCGAUGAAGAACGCAGCGAAAUGCGAUACGUAAUGUGAAUUGCAGAAUUCAGUGAAUCAUCGAAUCUUUGAACGCNCCUUGCGCCCCUUGGUAUUCCGAGGGGCACNCCCGUUUG
rnacentral:rRNA from 1 species